rnacentral:rRNA from 1 species
GACGAACGCUGGCGGCGUGCCUAAUACAUGCAAGUCGAGCGGAUGGAAGGGAGCUUGAUCCCUGAAGUUAGCGGCGGACGGGUGAGUAACACGUGGGCAACCUGCCUGUAAGACUGGGAUAACUUCGGGAAACCGGAGCUAAUACCGGAUACGUUCUUUCCUCGCAUGAGGAAAGAUGGAAAGACGGUUUCGGCUAUCACUUACAGAUGGGCCCGCGGCGCAUUAGCUAGUUGGUGGGGUAAUGGCCUACCAAGGCGACGAUGCGUAGCCGACCUGAGAGGGUGAUCGGCCACACUGGGACUGAGACACGGCCCAGACUCCUACGGGAGGCAGCAGUAGGGAAUCUUCCGCAAUGGACGAAAGUCUGACGGAGCAACGCCGCGUGAGCGAAGAAGGCCUUCGGGUCGUAAAGCUCUGUUGUCAGGGAAGAACAAGUGCCAGAGUAACUGCUGGCACCUUGACGGUACCUGACCAGAAAGCCACGGCUAACUACGUGCCAGCCGCCGCCGUAAUAC